GUUUUGAAGCGCAGGUCACAGGUCACUGGUUCCUACACAGCAGGUGGGACUGUCUGUCUGUGCACUUUUUUCCUAAGCUGCUGAAAUUUCUCCGAGGUCGAUUGGUCACAGCAACCGAUGCUUCCUGCAUGACCAAAGCACAACUUACAGUGGGUCAGAGAAACCAGGCCAGUGGCUGUUCUCAUAGCCCAAACUAAAGCACAAAGAUGACUGGAAUUAAACAAGCCCAACUCCCCAACUAUGGGACACGCAGAUGUCUGCACCCCUGUUGACAGCAUGAGGCUCAUAUCACUUAUGUUCUGGCUGUGGCUAAUGGUAAAUGCUCCCCUGUCACCAGCACAGCCAUACAUAGACACUCAUGAGGAAUGUCUGAAAGCCACAAGCCCUACCCCAAGCACAGCACCAUUUGCUUCUUCCCAUUAACACACACUCAAGAAUGAAAACUACACACACACACACACACACACACACACACACACACACACAGAAAACUGAGUAUGUAUUGUAGAAAUGUAGAAGAAAAAAUAAAAAUAUUUUUUCAAAUGUAAUUACUUUUAAUAUAUGCUCGUGGAAGGUCUAAUACAAUGUAUGCUGUCUCCGUAAUUUUUGCUGUAAAUAACUGGAGACAGUGAAUACACUGGUUUUUCUAUGUCUCUGUUUAAGCAUAAGACUUUGUAACAAUUUUUUAGAGGG
rnacentral:lncRNA from 1 species